AUUGAACGCUGGCGGCAGGCUUAACACAUGCAAGUCGAGCGGGGUGAUGGUGCUUGCACUAUCACUUAGCGGCGGACGGGUGAGUAAUGCUUAGGAAUCUGCCUAUUAGUGGGGGACGACAUCUCGAAAGGGAUGCUAAUACCGCAUACGUCCUACGGGAGAAAGCAGGGGAUCACUUGUGACCUUGCGCUAAUAGAUGAGCCUAAGUCGGAUUAGCUAGUUGGUGGGGUAAAGGCCUACCAAGGCGACGAUCGGUAGCGGGUGUGAGAGGAUGAUCCGCCACACUGGGACUGAGACACGGCCCAGACUCCUACGGGAGGCAGCAGUGGGGAAUAUUGGACAAGGGGGGGAACCCUGAUCCAGCCAUGCCGCGUGUGUGAAGAAGGCCUUAUGGUUGUAAAGCACUUUAAGCGAGGAGGAGGCUCUUUUGGUUAAUACCCAAGAUGAGUGGACGUUACUCGCAGAAUAAGCACCGGCUAACUCUGUGCCAGCCGCCGCGGUAA
rnacentral:rRNA from 1 species